AUGCUUGCUUCGGCAGCACAUGUACUAAAAUUGGAAGGAUACAGAGAAGAUUAUCAUGGCCCCUGCGUCAGGAUGACAUGAAAAUUCAUGAAGCAUUCCAUAUUAAA
rnacentral:snRNA from 1 species